AUUGAACGCUGGCGGCAUGCCUUACACAUGCAAGUCGAACGGCAGCACGGUUAGUUGCAGCUGGUGGGGGGUGGCGAACGGGGGAGGAAUACAACGGAACCGGUCCUUUAGUUUGGGUUAGCCCGACGGAAGCCAGAUUAAUACCGCAACCGCUUUACGCCUGAGAGCGGGUGACGUGCGUUCCUGGCGCUAGAGGGUUUGCCGAUGGCUGAUUAGGUAGUUGGUGGGGUCAAGGCCUACCACGGCGACGAUCAGUAGCCGUUCGGAGUGGACGAUCAGCCACACGGGAACUGAGACACGGACAAGACUCCUACGGGAGGCAGCAGUGGGGAAUUUUGGACAAUGGGCGAAAGCAUGAUCCAGCAAUGCCGCGUGUGUGAAGAAGGCCUUCGGGUUGUAAAGCACUUUUGUCGGGAAAGAAACCCUUGGAGCUAAUACGGUGGGGGGAUGACGGUACCGGAAGAAUAAGCACCGGCUAACUACGUG
rnacentral:rRNA from 1 species